AUUGAACGCUGGCGGCGGGCCUAACACAUGCAAGUCGAGCGGAUGAAGGGAGCUUGCUCCUGGAUUCAGCGGCGGACGGGUGAGUAAUGCCUAGGAAUCUGCCUGGUAGUGGGGGAUAACGUCCGGAAACGGGCGCUAAUACCGCAUACGUCCUGAGGGAGAAAGUGGGGGAUCUUCGGACCUCACGCUAUCAGAUGAGCCUAGGUCGGAUUAGCUAGUUGGUGGGGUAAAGGCCUACCAAGGCGACGAUCCGUAACUGGUCUGAGAGGAUGAUCAGUCACACUGGAACUGAGACACGGUCCAGACUCCUACGGGAGGCAGCAGUGGGGAAUAUUGGACAAUGGGCGAAAGCCUGAUCCAGCCAUGCCGCGUGUGUGAAGAAGGUCUUCGGAUUGUAAAGCACUUUAAGUUGGGAGGAAGGGUAGUAAGUUAAUACCUUGCUGUUUUGACGUUACCAACAGAAUAAGCACCGGCUAACUUCGUG
rnacentral:rRNA from 1 species